rnacentral:rRNA from 1 species
AAUUCGAUUGAGUUUGAUCAUGGCUCAGAACGAACGCUGGCGGCAGGCCUAACACAUGCAAGUCGAACGCCGUAGCAAUACGGAGUGGCAGACGGGUGAGUAACGCGUGGGAACAUACCCCUCGGUUCGGAAUAACUCAGGGAAACUUGAGCUAAUACCGGAUAAGUCCGAGGUUUUAAUCGACCUUGGAGAAAGAUUUAUCGCCGGAGGAUUGGCCCGCGUCUGAUUAGCUUGUUGGUGAGGUAAUGGCUCACCAAGGCGACGAUCAGUAGCUGGUCUGAGAGGAUGAUCAGCCACAUUGGGACUGAGACACGGCCCAAACUCCUACGGGAGGCAGCAGUGGGGAAUAUUGGACAAUGGGCGAAAGCCUGAUCCAGCCAUGCCGCGUGAGUGAUGAAGGCCUUAGGGUUGUAAAGCUCUUUUACCCGGGAAGAUAAUGACGGUACCGGGAGAAUAAGCCCCGGCUAACUUCGUGCCAGCAGCCGCGGUAAUACGAAGGGGGCUAGCGUUGUUCGGAAUUACUGGGCGUAAAGCGCACGUAGGCGGAUCUUUAAGUCAGGGGUGAAAUCCCGAGGCUCAACCUCGGAACUGCCUUUGAUACUGGGGAUAUCGAGUCCGGGAGAGGUGAGUGGAACUGCGAGUGUAGAGGUGAAAUUCGUAGAUAUUCGCAAGAACACCAGUGGCGAANGCGGCUCACUGGCCCGGUACUGACGCUGAGGUGCGAAAGCGUGGGGAGCAAACAGG